AUGGGUAUAGUGGAAACAUUUCACUGCCUGCUAGCCCACUGCCACCACCGCUGGCUUCUCAGUUUUAGUCUUCGAGGCUCACCUGAACUUGGCACGCUCUGUGUUAGAUUACUCAACCUGUCUGCCCCACAGAAACUCACCUCCCUAACUGCUGCGUGCUGCUUUCUCUUUUCGAGAGUUGGACUACACCCAAAGCCACUGUCAAAUGUCAUGGGGAUGAGACUUCACGAGGGAAUGCAAAGAAAUUCCAAGUGGCGGAUAAAGGCAAGCCUUGAGUACAUUGCCUGGAACCUCUACCAGAUCAUCAAGGCUGAAAUCUGAAGGAGAAUAAUUACCUGGGGGCAAUCAGCCACCAUGAGUCAAAGCCUGAAACUAAGGGUGAGGGCAGGGUGGAGAAAGAUUUAACUAAAGUUGUUGUAAGUAUAUCUAGCUGAAGCAAGGGGAGCUGGAUCUUAUGCUAGCAAUCAUUUUAUUUCCAUUUCAGCCAACUUUUAGCCUCUGUCUCCCUUUUCUACAUCCUGCUCAACCAUCACCCUGCACACUUUUUCCUAAAUAAUCAACAUUUACAACCUGUCAACUGAAAAAACAAAACAAAACAAAAAAACAACCCAUAAUGUGAGAAUUAUGAGUUAAGUUUUACCUGGGAAAAAAUGAGGAUAUUAGCCAAGAAGACAGCCUCUCAGAUAGCUCUGAGCAACUGCUCCAAAGAAGUAGGUUGGGAGGUCAGUAUAUAUGUGAUUCUGGUGAAGGGGGGUAGUGCAGUCAAGCACACAUUUUGGUAGAAGAUUUCGGCUAGUCUUGUGACAGUUACUGCUGGUCACAAGGAACCAGCAGAUGUCUUUGUUAAUGAUUUUAGUGCUUUUCUAGAUAUGAGAAGAUGCAAAAAAAAUGGGCUUGUAGAAUCUUCUUCUGAAAAUACCUAUCUGAAAGCCUCUUCUACCAGUUUUCCCCAGAGCAUAGAGUGCCUCAUUCCUGAUCUCUACCCUGAACUCCUUCCAGCAUGUGUUGAAGGUCAGUGACUACAGCGACUAGGGACUUAAUCCUUGUAGAGGAAGAUGGCAAGUGAAAAUUUUUCGUUGGCACUAGUUUACUACUGUUUUAAAGGUACAUCAAUGGUAAAAACUUAGGAAGAACGUUAAAAAUCAUCAUGGUAAAAUAAGAAACUGGACCAAUACAUAAACCAUUUUGGCCAUUUUUAAAUUAAUUCAAAAAUUAUUUUUCUGAGAAAAGGAAAGUAUAUUUAAACUCUGAAAUUGGGAAAAAGUAAUUCUGAGUAUUUUUCCAAGCUUUAGGUUUUCUUUGAGUGAUUUUUCCCCUCAUCACCAUAUUGACAAAAACAGACUCUUUCCUUUUUUCAAAAAAAGUAUGUAUUAUAAAGAGAAGUAGAAGAGUAUUCAACUAAUGCAGUAUAAGAAUUCUGAAUUUCUAACACACAAGCUUAAUAAAUCACCCAACAGCAACA
rnacentral:lncRNA from 1 species